rnacentral:rRNA from 1 species
GACGUAGGGGGCGAGCGUUGUCCGGAUUUACUGGGCGUAAAGCGCGCGCAGGCGGCUCGUUAAGUCGGAUGUGAAAACCUGGGGCUCAACCCCAGGCCCGCAUCCGAUACUGGCGAGCUAGAGGCAGGUAGGGGAGAGUGGAAUUCCCGGUGUAGCGGUGAAAUGCGCAGAUAUCGGGAGGAACACCGGUGGCGAAGGCGGCUCUCUGGGCCUGUCCUGACGCUCAGGCGCGAAAGCUAGGGGAGCAAACAGG